rnacentral:rRNA from 1 species
AAAUUGAAGAGUUUGAUCAUGGCUCAGAUUGAACGCUGGCGGCAGGCCUAACACAUGCAAGUCGAACGGUAACAGGAAGCAGCUUGCUGCUUUGCUGACGAGUGGCGGACGGGUGAGUAAUGUCUGGGAAACUGCCUGAUGGAGGGGGAUAACUACUGGAAACGGUGGCUAAUACCGCAUAACGUCGCAAGACCAAAGAGGGGGACCUUCGGGCCUCUUGCCAUCAGAUGUGCCCAGAUGGGAUUAGCUAGUUGGUGAGGUAACGGCUCACCAAGGCGACGAUCCCUAGCUGGUCUGAGAGGAUGACCAGCCACACUGGAACUGAGACACGGUCCAGACUCCUACGGGAGGCAGCAGUGGGGAAUAUUGCACAAUGGGCGCAAGCCUGAUGCAGCCAUGCCGCGUGUAUGAAGAAGGCCUUCGGGUUGUAAAGUACUUUCAGCGGGGAGGAAGGUGUUGUGGUUAAUAACCGCAGCAAUUGACGUUACCCGCAGAAGAAGCACCGGCU